rnacentral:misc_RNA from 1 species
UACGAAGGGGGCUAGCGUUGUUCGGAAUUACUGGGCGUAAAGCGCACGUAGGCGGAUCGAUCAGUCAGGGGUGAAAUCCCAGGGCUCAACCCUGGAACUGCCCUUGAUACUGUCGAUCUGGAGUAUGGAAGAGGUGAGUGGAAUUCCGAGUGUAGAGGUGAAAUUCGUAGAUAUUCGGAGGAACACCAGUGGCGAAGGCGGCUCACUGGUCCAUUACUGACGCUGAGGUGCGAAAGCGUGGGGAGCAAACAGG